CUGAGUACGACGGAGCACGUGAAAUUCCGUCGGAAUCUGGGAGGACCAUCUCCUAAGGCUAAAUACUCUCUAGUGACCGAUAGUGAACCAGUACCGUGAGGGAAAGGUGAAAAGUACCCCGGAAGGGGAGUGAAAGAGAACUUGAAACCGUGUGCUUACAAGUAGUCAGAGCCCGUUAAUGGGUGAUGGCGUGCCUUUUGUAGAAUGAACCGGCGAGUUACGAUCUGAUGCAAGGUUAAGCAGAAAAUGUGGAGCCGUAGCGAAAGCGAGUCUGAAUAGGGCGAAUGAGUAUUUGGUCGUAGACCCGAAACCAGGUGAUCUACCCUUGGUCAGGUUGAAGUUCAGGUAACACUGAAUGGAGGACCGAAC
rnacentral:rRNA from 1 species